GUCUGCGGCCAUGCCUCCCUGAACAAGCCCCAUGUCUGAUCUCAGAAGCUAAGCAGGGUCGGGCCUGGUGAGUACUUAGAUGGGAGACCACCUAGGAAGACCAAGUGCUGUAGGCG
rnacentral:rRNA from 1 species